GGUGGUGACGGCGGUGCCGGAGGUUGUCCUUGGCAGGUUUUCCUCGGCGCUUUUCCAUGGAGGAGGCGGUGCGAACGGCUUCAGCCCCGAAUGCUCGCAUCUCCCACUGGACGGCGACGAAGGCGGUGGCCGUGCGAGCGCAGGACUGGGCGGCCUGUGUGGGGGUGUGAGCCGCGGUGCCCCAGGCUGCGCCGGCGAGGGGAAGCCGCGCGGCCGGCCGGCCGACUAGGGUUUGAAGACUGCUUCAUUCUGCCUCUAGUACCAGCGGUUUCUCUGUUCUGUGAUCAAUGUGAUUCACAGGAACUCCUUAAGUAACAAACGAAAUGAGCCAGGGGCGUGGAAAAUAUGACUUCUAUAUUGGUCUGGGAUUGGCUAUGAGCUCCAGCAUUUUCAUUGGAGGAAGUUUCAUUUUGAAAAAAAAAGGCCUCCUUCGACUUGCCAGGAAAGGCUCUAUGAGAGCAGGUCAAGGUGGCCAUGCAUAUCUUAAGGAAUGGUUGUGGUGGGCUGGACUGCUGUCAAUGAAUUAGUGCAGUUCAAAAC
rnacentral:lncRNA from 1 species